rnacentral:rRNA from 1 species
CCUACGGGAGGCAGCAGUGAGGAAUAUUGGUCAAUGGACGAGAGUCUGAACCAGCCAAGUAGCGUGAAGGAUGACUGCCCUAAGGGUUGUAAACCUCUUUUAUAAGGGAAUAAAACGAGGCACGUGUGCCUUUUUGCAUGUACUUUAUGAAUAAGGAUCGGCUAACUCCGUGCCAGCAGCCGCGGUAAUACGGAGGAUUCGAGCGUUAUCCGGAUUUAUUGGGUUUAAAGGGAGCGUAGAUGGGUUGUUAAGUCAGUUGUGAAAGUUUGCGGCUCAACCGUAAAAUUGCAAUUGAUACUGGCAGUCUUGAGUACAGGUGAGGUAGGCGGAAUGCGUGGUGUAGCGGUGAAAUGCUUAGAUAUCACGAAGAACCCCGAUUGCGAAGGCAGCUUGCUAACCUGUGACUGACAUUGAUGCACGAAAGUGUGGGUAUCAAACAGGAUUAGAUACCCUAGUAGUC